AGGCACUGCCUGCCCAGUGACACAUGUUCAACGGCCGCGGUACCCUGACCGUGCAAAGGUAGCAUAAUCACUUGUUCUCUAAAUAGGGACUUGUAUGAAUGGCCACACGAGGGUUUAACUGUCUCUUACUUUUAAUCAGUGAAAUUGACCUAUCCGUGAAGAGGCGGAUAUACCAAAAUAAGACGAGAAGACCCUAUGGAGCUUCAAUUUAAUAGUACAGACUAACACUUUUAAAACCUANCAGGCAUCAACCUACCGUAAAUGUACUAUAAAUUUCGGUUGGGGUGACCUCGGAGCAUAACACAACCUCCGAAAAACGCAUACUAAGACCUAACCAGUCUAAGUAANNACACACACUCAUUGACCCAAUANNNANCUUGAUCAACGGACCAAGUUACCCUAGGGAUAACAGCGCAAUCCUAUUUUAGAGUCCAUAUCGACAAUAGGGUUUACGACCUCGAUGUUGGAUCAAGACAUCCCAAUGGUGCAGACGCUAUUAAGGGUUCGUUUGUUCAACGAUUAAAGUCUUAC
rnacentral:rRNA from 1 species